UUAUAGAUGGCCGCUCACCUUGAGAUCUAUGCAAAAAAGCAUAUCACCCACGAUAUAAUCUGGGUACUGUAGUACGAGUCGCUGCUAUGCCGAUGGGUUGCAGGAGGAAACAAGUCGUCCUGGGAGUCAAUAUUAGAAGUAGAGCAGGAAAAAACCCUCAGGUAUGGCGCUGCAGACUCUUGUAGACAGAUGAGGCGGAUGCCAAAGGUAAUAGGAAAGUCCUCAGCAGGACAUUUUAUUAAAAAAAACAAUAAAAUGGACAAGAUUACGCGUUUCGGGAGGAUCCCUCCCUUCCUCAGAUCAGGAUAAGGACAGUACAACAAUAGCAGGUUUAUAUAGCCCAAAAAUGGGCGCCAAAAACACAUGGGAGGAGUAACAAUCCAAACUUGAAAAUCAAAGUACAGGAACAGAAACAGCACUUACAUAUAAUAUACAGUAUGAAUAUACAUUAGGAAGCAAAACAAUUACAAAUUGUGGUAAUAUAAGGUCAGGUUAUGUGUUUGACCAAGACUAGCAACUGCUGGAGAAUCGCAGUGGGCCGGAAGCUGUCAGCCGCAUCAUGUGAACAGUGUAAACAAGGCACUUCCUGUGUGAGAAGCACGUCAAUAGCAGUGAGCUCUGAAGCAGGGCUGGUUGCCCUGGACGCGUUGCUAUGCUAGGAGGUCACAUGGUCAGCUCUCUACCAAUCAGCUCUGAAUGUGGUUUCUCCUUACUUGUGAAGGCUGUGAGGAUCGUACUGGCAGAGGACACUGACAGGCUCCUAUUCAGUAGGUGAAAGUUUUGGCACGGUGGUGGAGAUUUGCACAACAUUUGCAGCGAUUAUGCCCGCAUCUAUAAGCGCCUGUGGUGGUGAGGAAAUUCACAGCAGGUCUAAAUAAUGUGACAAAUUGGAAGACACAGAGCCUAUCCCAGAUACAAUAGGGCGCCCUGGUGGAUUUUCGGUAUUUUUAUGAACCUUUGUAAGUUUUUCUAGAUCGUGUGCGACCAUGCUAAGAAAAGUAUCAAGGUAACUGCCUCUCGAUUGGAGGGGAUAGAAGUUCGAUUUUGGUUUAAGGUCAGUGUGUAUAGGUGCUGGUACCAUAGAU